GACGGAGGUGCAAAUGUUAUCCGGAAUCACUGGGCGUAAAGCGUCUGUAGGUGGUCAAAUAAGUCAACUGUUAAAUCUUGAGGCUUAACCUCAAAUCGCAGUCGAAACUAUUAAGACUAGAGUAUAGUAGGGUAAAGGGAAUUUCCAGUGGAGCGGUGAAAAUGCGUAGAGAUUGAAAGAACACCGAUGCGAAGGCACUUUACUGGGCUAUUACUAACACUCAGAGACGAAAGCUAGGGUAGCAAAUGGG
rnacentral:rRNA from 1 species